AGUCUUGUAUUCAAAUAUGAUUUUAAAUUGCAAAUUUAAAGGUGGGAGUGCCCAAGGCUU
rnacentral:tRNA from 1 species